GGUUUCCGUAGGUGACCUGCGGAAGGWCAUUA
rnacentral:rRNA from 1 species